rnacentral:rRNA from 1 species
GGAUGAACGCUGGCGGCGUACCUAAUACAUGCAAGUCGAGCGGUAACAGGCUCACGGAAUCUUUCAUUAGAUUCGCCUACGCUAUCUCGCAUUUUUGCGAGAGAUGCGUAGGAGUAUCUGUAGAAUGGAAGGUUGUGUGAGCGCUGACGAGCGGCGGACGGCUGAGUAAUGCAUAGGAAUGUACCCUAAAGUGAGGGAUAAGCACCGGAAACGGUGUCUAAUACCGCAUGUGGUCUUCGGAUUAAAGCUUUAUGCGCUUUGGGAGCAGCCUAUGUAAGAUUAGCUUGUUGGUGAGGUAAAAGCUCACCAAGGCGAUGAUCUUUAGCUGGUCUGAGAGGAUGAUCAGCCAGACUGGGACUGAGACACGGCCCAGACUCCUACGGGAGGCAGCAGUAGGGAAUUUUCCACAAUGGACGGAAGUCUGAUGGAGUAACGCCGCGUGCAGGAUGAAUGCCUUCGGGUUGUAAACUGCUUUUAUUUGUGACGAUUAUGACGGUAGCAGAUGAAUAAGGAUCGGCUAACUCCGUGCCAGCAGCCGCGGUCAUACGGAGGAUCCAAGCGUUAUCCGGAAUUACUGGGCGUAAAGAGUUGCGUAGGCGGCAUAGCAAGCAGAGUGUAAAAUCGUAUGGCUCAACCAUAUACAUAUACUUUGAACUGUUAAGCUAGAGAGUGGAAGAGGUUGCUAGAAUUCCUGGUGUAGGGGUGAAAUCCGUAGAUAUCAGGAGGAAUACCGAUGGCGUAGGCAGGCAACUGGUCCAUUUCUGACGCUCAGGCACGAAAGCGUGGGGAGCGAUCGGGAUUAGAUACCCCGGUAGUCCACGCCGUAAACGAUGGAUGCUAGCUGUACGGAGUAUCGACCCUCUGUGUAGCGAAGCUAACGCGUUAAGCAUCCCGCCUGUGGAGUACGGCCGCAAGGCUAAAACAUAAAGGAAUUGACGGGGACCCGCACAAGCGGUGGAGCGUGUUGUUUAAUUCGAGGAUAAGCGAAGAACCUUACCCAGACUUGACAUCCUGCUAAUCUUUCCGAAAGGAGAGAGUGCCUUCGGGCCGCAGUGACAGGUGUUGCAUGGCCGUCGUCAGCUCGUGUCGUGAGAUGUUUGGUUAAGUCCAUCAACGAGCGCAACCCUUAUGGCUAGUUGGAUUUUUCUAGUCAGACCGCCCUGGUAACGGGGAGGAAGGAGGGGAUGACGUCAGGUCAGUAUUGCCCUUACGUCUGGGGCUACAAACACGCUACAAUGGCCGGUACAAAGGGCAGCCAACCCGCGAGGGGGAGCAAAUCCCAUCAAAGCCGGUCUCAGUUCGGAUAGCAGGCUGAAACUCGCCUGCUUGAAGCCGGAAUCGCUAGUAAUCGCGCAUCAGCCACGGCGCGGUGAAUACGUUCCCGGGCCU